UACGUAGGGUGCGAGCGUUAAUCGGAAUUACUGGGCGUAAAGCGUGCGCAGGCGGUUUUGUAAGCCAGAUGUGAAAUCCCCGAGCUUAACCUGGGAAUGGCAUUUGGGACUGCAAGGCUUGAGUGCGGCAGAGGAGACUGGAAUUCCUGGUGUAGCAGUGAAAUGCGUAGAUAUCAGGAGGAAUACCGAUGGCGAAGGCAGGUCUCUGGGCUGACACUGACGCUCAUGCACGAAAGCGUGGGGAGCAAACAGG
rnacentral:rRNA from 1 species